rnacentral:rRNA from 1 species
UACGUAGGGGGCUAGCGUUGUCCGGAAUCAUUGGGCGUAAAGCGCGUGUAGGCGGUCCGGUAAGUCCGCUGUGAAAGUCGGGGGGCUCAACCCUCGAAUGCCGGUGGAUACUGUCGGGCUAGAGUACGGAAGAGGCGAGUGGAAUUCCUGGUGUAGCGGUGAAAUGCGCAGAUAUCAGGAGGAACACCAAUUGCGAAGGCAGCUCGCUGGGACGUUACUGACGCUGAGACGCGAAAGCGUGGGGAGCAAACAGG